CCUCACUGCUGCUCCAAGAAGCUUUCUCAGUAGACUGGACCAAAAUCCUUCCGAAACGAAUAUAGACAACUGUUUGGUGUCAAUCGCUCAAUCGCCUCCUCACAAACCAAUGACAUCACCACAGCACGCACUGCUGUCCUGCAAUGUCUGCCCCUGUAUCUUGGAGAUUAUUCCAAAGAAAUUCUUCCUCAGCUGCUCAGAUUCAGACUCUGCAUGUGACUUCACUCAGGUGCCUGUUGGGGCUCUUAGAAUCAUGACUGAGGACACGCCACCCUUGAUUAACAGCAUUGCAGUCAUCCUUGAAGGAAACAUUGUCAUGGAUGAGAUUCCCAUAACCUCUCAAGCACUUUGUCUUCUGUUCAGCUUAAUGUAUGCACCCCAUCUGGAUUACUCCAAAGGUCAUAUCCGCAUCCUACUCAAGAUCACACUCCAACAACCUGAUCAACAAUUGUAAUGUUCAGAUUAAGAGAUGCUGCUGCAGCCACAGCACUAUGUUGACGAAGCAGUCGGCCUGUGUGUCUACUCUGGACAGAGAAUGUCCGUCUUCUGGAAACCAUAACAAUCUGCAUGGACAAACGGAAUAAUGGGUCUUGAUGACAUACAGGUUUGGGUGCUUUGUAGAGCUCCAGACCUUGGUGAGGAGACACUCGCCUGUCUCUGCCCCCCAGCAUCAGCAGCACGGGAGUCCUGAUCUACAAACAGGUAAACACCAACACAUACUUGGUUUCAUGUCAGUGUAGGAAAUGUCAGAGUUUGUCAUAACAGCUUUCCAACAUUAGCUUUCAAACGUUGGGGUCUAAUGAGCAUUGCAUUUGCUAGGAACUGCCAGUUAGCCUUUAGAUUUCCGGGAUCACUCUUCAAACAGCUUUAUAAAUUGCCUAUCAGAAAUGAAUAAUAUGCGGGUUAUUUGUGCAUUAUGAUGAAAAGACUGUAUUUAUUAAAGUCUGCAUGUCUGACCUGAGCAGCAUGUGCGAUGGGUGACUUCUCCAACAUAGCAGUCAGGGCUUCAGCAGUGGGAAUCUGGUCAUACGAGUACUGAAACCCCACACUGGUGUAACGCCUGGAGAUACAGAGCGAGGAUAGCAUUUAAACUUUAAAGUUGUUUGGAUGUGUUGCAGUGUGUGGACGAGCUGCUGCAUACGUGCAUGUGUCUCACCAGUCU